rnacentral:rRNA from 1 species
AACGCGAAGAACCUUACCUGGUCUUGACAUCCACGGAAGUUUUCAGAGAUGAGAAUGUGCCUUCGGGAACCGUGAGACAGGUGCUGCAUGGCUGUCGUCAGCUCGUGUUGUGAAAUGUUGGGUUAAGUCCCGCAACGAGCGCAACCCUUAUCCUUUGUUGCCAGCGGUCCGGCCGGGAACUCAAAGGAGACUGCCAGUGAUAAACUGGAGGAAGGUGGGGAUGACGUCAAGUCAUCAUGGCCCUUACGACCAGGGCUACAGACGUGCUACAAUGGCGCAUACAAAGAGAAGCGACCUCGCGAGAGCAAGCGGACCUCAUAAAGUGCGUCGUAGUCCGGAUUGGAGUCUGCAACUCGACUCCAUGAAGUCGGAAUCGCUAGUAAUCGUGGAUCAGAAUGCCACGGUGAAUACGUUCCCGGGUCUUGUACACACGC